AUUGAACGCUGGCGGCAUGCCUUACACAUGCAAGUCGAACGGCAGCACGGGGGCAACCCUGGUGGCGAGUGGCGAACGGGUGAGUAAUACAUCGGAACGUGUCCUGUAGUGGGGGAUAGCCCGGCGAAAGCCGGAUUAAUACCGCAUACGCUCUACGGAGGAAAGGGGGGGAUCUUAGGACCUCCCGCUACAGGGGCGGCCGAUGGCAGAUUAGCUAGUUGGUGGGGUAAAGGCCUACCAAGGCGACGAUCUGUAGCUGGUCUGAGAGGACGACCAGCCACACUGGGACUGAGACACGGCCCAGACUCCUACGGGAGGCAGCAGUGGGGAAUUUUGGACAAUGGGCGAAAAGCCCUGAUCCAGCAAUGCCGCGUGUGUGAAAGAAAGGCCUUUCGGGUUGUAAAAGCCCUUUUGUCCGGAAAGGAAAACCC
rnacentral:rRNA from 1 species